CCUACGGGCGGCAGCAGUGGGGAAUAUUGGGCAAUGGGCGCAAGCCUGACCCAGCAACGCCGCGUGAAGGAAGAAGGCUUUCGGGUUGUAAACUUCUUUUAAGGGGGACGAACAAAGGACGGUACCCCUUGAAUAAGCCACGGCUAACUACGUGCCAGCAGCCGCGGUAAUACGGAGGUGGCAAGCGUUAUCCGGAUUUAUUGGGUGUAAAGGGCGGGUAGGGGGGAGCGCAAGUCAGAUGUGAAAACUCCGGGCUCAACCCUGGGCCUGCAUUUGAAACUGUGUUUCUUGAGUGCUGGGGAGGCAAUCGGAAUUCCGUGUGUAGCGGUGAAAUGCGUAGAUAUACGGAGGAACACCAGUGGCGACGGCGGCUUGCUGGACAGUAACUGACGCUGAGGCGCGAAAGCGUGGGGAGCAAACAGGAUUAGAUACCCCUGUAGUC
rnacentral:rRNA from 1 species